CUACGGGCGGCAGCAGUGGGGAAUAUUGCACAAUGGGGGAAACCCUGAUGCAGCAACGCCGCGUGGAGGAUGACACAUUUCGGUGCGUAAACUCCUUUUAUAUAGGAAGAUAAUGACGGUACUAUAUGAAUAAGCACCGGCUAACUCCGUGCCAGCAGCCGCGGUAAUACGGAGGGUGCAAGCGUUACUCGGAAUUACUGGGCGUAAAGAGCGUGUAGGCGGGUUUGUAAGUUGGAUGUGAAAUCCUAUGGCUCAACCAUAGAACUGCAUCCAAAACUACUUACCUAGAGUGUGGGAGAGGUAGAUGGAAUUUCUGGUGUAGGGGUAAAAUCCGUAGAGAUCAGAAGGAAUACCGAUUGCGAAGGCGAUCUACUGGAACAUAACUGACGCUGAGACGCGAAAGCGUGGGGAGCAAACAGGAUUAGAUACCCGUGUAGUC
rnacentral:rRNA from 1 species